rnacentral:rRNA from 1 species
CCUACGGGUUGCAGCAGUAGGGAAUCUUCCGCAAUGGGCGAAAGCCUGACGGAGCAACGCCGCGUGAAUGAUGAAGGUCUUCGGAUCGUAAAACUCUGUUAUUAGGGAAGAACAACUGUGUAAGUAACUAUGCACGUCUUGACGGUACCUAAUCAGAAAGCCACGGCUAACUACGUGCCAGCAGCCGCGGUAAUACGUAGGUGGCAAGCGUUAUCCGGAAUUAUUGGGCGUAAAGCGCGCGUAGGCGGUUUUUUAAGUCUGAUGUGAAAGCCCGCGGCUCAACCGUGGAGGGUCAUUGGAAACUGGAAAACUUGAGUGUAGAAGAGGAAAGUGGAAUUCCAUGUGUAGCGGUGAAAUGCGCAGAGAUAUGGAGGAACACCAGUGGCGAAGGCGACUUUCUGGUCUGUAACUGACGCUGAUGUGCGAAAGCGUGGGGAUCAAACAGGAUUAGAUACCCCAGUAGUC